GUUGAUUGGAAAAUUGGAACCUUUUGAAUUGGAUCCAGUUACCAUGGAAACCACCGUCUUGCAUCUGUCAAAACUUCGCCCGUCCAUCACCCUGCAGAAGUUAAUAUCGACGACGGAGGAAUAUCUGGGGGAAGAGUAACACAAGCCCCACGAUGAGUUCAUGUGCAGAGAACAAAUCAAAAUCCAGACGGAUCAACACCAGCCUGCCCACACUCUGGAGAAACCACACCGCUGUGACCAGGGUGGGAGGAGUUUCUGAGUCCACUAACUAAAGAUGUGUUGACUGUUGAAACUGUCUCAAUAAAAUUC